GACAAAGUGUACAUAUCUGAAUGAAAUUUACUAGGGGAAAAAGAGUGGGUUCUGGUGAAGCCAUCCCAAUAUCAUGGAGGGGCAUCUACAUGGGUGUACAGGCUGCCAUGAGACCUGGUGGCAGCCGCACACGGUACUUGUCUGUAGUGCCCACCCUGGAAAUAAGCCUCUGUGUCACAGCUAAGAAGACAUUUAGGUCUCUUCUUCAGUAGUACCUUGCUUGAUGGAUUGAUGGUUAUGUAAGCAGGGGUUGCUAUGAAGAGAAACAAGGAUGACCAGUGUUGACCUCUUGACCUUGGCGCUGGUACACAGACCUGCCUUUGCUAACCCUGAUUGAUGGCUACAGCUCCUCAGGAUCAGCGUUGCUAAGGAGAUCCCGUGUGAAGGUGAGACUCGUUACUGGAGGAAACAGAUUGCUUCGAGUUGAAGUGUGAGAAAUGACAGAAUCAAGAGGGCAAGGACUUUGCAGCGUCCCCUCCAGCAGCCACCUCUGUCUCCACCCGACUCUGGCAAACUCCUCAAUUGCAGAAGCUGAGGGUCUCAAAUAUGUCUGCGAUCUCAGAACCAGCUCAGCGAAGCCCCAGUAGGACCUGGUCCUCUUUCUUAAUUUAGAGGUACGGCGUCUUCGAGGCUAAUUUUCCCUAGCCUGCCCAGUCUCUGUAGCUGGGGUGCUCUCUCCACUUUGCUGUCUUGACUAAUUCUUGACAAUAAUGAAAGGCAACUUUAGAGAUGUGUGAAAUGAGUUCCCCUUGCUGUCUGUGUGAGGUGACUUCGGAACUCUGAGCCGAGUGGAUGACCAGCGGCCCCCAGGAUUUUGUUCAGCCGAUGAGCUGACCUCAUAUGCUGUUCCUGAAGCACACUUA